rnacentral:rRNA from 1 species
GCACAACAGAACCUCCGAGUGAUUUUUACCAAGACUAACCCGUCAAGGUUACUUAACUUAUUGAUCCAAUCAUAUUGAUCAACGAAACAAGUUACCCUAGGGAUAACAGCGCAAUCCUAUUAGAGAGUUCGUAUCGACAAUAGGGUUUACGACCUCGAUGUUGGAUCAGGACACCCAAAUGGUGCAGCAGCUAUUAAAGGUUCGUUUGUUCAACGAUUAAAGUCCUACGUGAUCUGAGUUCAGACCGGAGAA